UACGGAGGGUGCGAGCGUUGUCCGGAAUCACUGGGCGUAAAGGGCGCGUAGGCGGCCUGUUAAGUAGGGGGUGAAAUCCUGCGGCUUAACCGCAGGGCUGCCUUCUAAACUGUCAGGCUCGAGCACAGUAGAGGCAGGUGGAAUUCCCGGUGUAGCGGUGGAAUGCGUAGAGAUCGGGAAGAACAUCGGUGGCGAAAGCGCUCUACUGGGCCAUAACUGACACUCAGGGACGAAAGCUAGGGGAGCGAAUGGG
rnacentral:rRNA from 1 species